rnacentral:rRNA from 2 species
UACGUAGGGGGCGAGCGUUGUCCGAAGUUACUGGGCGUAAAGCGCGCGUAGGCGGCUUCUUAAGUCUGGGGUGAAAGGUUCAACGCUUAACGUGAACAGUGCCUUGGAUACUGGGGAGCUUGAAUGUGGCAGAGGAUAGUGGAAUGGCUGGUGUAGCGGUGAAAUGCGUAGAUAUCAGUCGGAACACCCAUGGCGAAGGCAGCUAUCUGGGCUAACAUUGACGCUGAGGUGCGAAAGCGUGGGGAGCGAACGGG